UACGUAGGGUGCGAGCGUUAAUCGGAAUUACUGGGCGUAAAGCGUGCGCAGGCGGUGCGCCAAGCUCGAUGUGAAAGCCCCGGGCUUAACCUGGGAAUUGCAUUGAGGACUGGCGUGCUCGAGUGCGGCAGAGGGGGGUGGAAUUCCACGUGUAGCAGUGAAAUGCGUAGAGAUGUGGAGGAGCACCGAUGGCGAAGGCAGCCCCCUGGGCCGACACUGACGCUCAUGCACGAAAGCGUGGGGAGCAAACAGG
rnacentral:rRNA from 1 species